GUCGCCGAUACACAGCAAUCGUCCCAAUGCUCCAGUAAUCUCCACGAGAGAGUUGAACGAAUACCUGAGCAGCAGCCAACCAGACCAGAUUGUCUACAGUGCCUAUGCAGCUUCCUGCAAGCACUAGGGACAGGGAGGGGACCCCUG